UACGUGGGGGGCAAGCGUUGUCCGGAUUUAUUGGGCGUAAAGAGCGUGUAGGCGGCCAAGCAGGUCCGCUGUGAAAACUCGAGGCUCAACCUCGAGACGUCGGUGGAAACCGUUUGGCUAGAGUCCGGAAGAGGAGAGUGGAAUUCCCGGUGUAGCGGUGAAAUGCGCAGAUAUCGGGAAGAACACCCGUGGCGAAGGCGGCUCUCUGGGACGGUACUGACGCUGAGACGCGAAAGCGUGGGGAGCGAACAGG
rnacentral:rRNA from 1 species